rnacentral:tRNA from 1 species
AACUUUAUAUUUUAAAUAUACAAAAAAUAUGAUUGCAAAUCAUGAAAUAUGAAAUAAAAUUCAUUAAAGUUU